rnacentral:rRNA from 1 species
CCUACGGGUGGCUGCAGUGGGGAAUCUUGGUCAAUGGGCGCAAGCCUGACCCAGCAACGCCGCGUGAAGGAAGAAGGCUUUCGGGUUGUAAACUUCUUUUGUCAGGGAAGAGUAGAAGACGGUACCUGACGAAUAAGCCACGGCUAACUACGUGCCAGCAGCCGCGGUAAUACGUAGGUGGCAAGCGUUGUCCGGAUUUACUGGGUGUAAAGGGCGUGUAGCCGGGUUGACAAGUCAGAUGUGAAAGCCUGCGGCUUAACCGCAGAACUGCAUUUGAAACUGUUGAUCUUGAGUGCUGGAGAGGCAGACGGAAUUACUAGUGUAGCGGUGAAAUGCGUAGAUAUUAGGAGGAACACCAGUGGCGAAGGCGGUCUGCUGGACAGCAACUGACGGUGAGGCGCGAAAGCGUGGGGAGCAAACAGGAUUAGAUACCCUUGUAGUC